rnacentral:rRNA from 1 species
GAUGAACGCUGGCGGCGUGCCUAAUACAUGCAAGUCGAGCGAACAGAUGAGGAGCUUGCUCCUCUGACGUUAGCGGCGGACGGGUGAGUAACACGUGGAUAACCUACCUAUAAGACUGGGAUAACUUCGGGAAACCGGAGCUAAUACCGGAUAAUAUAUUGAACCGCAUGGUUCAAUAGUGAAAGACGGUUUUGCUGUCACUUGUAGAUGGAUCCGCGCCGCAUUAGCUAGUUGGUAAGGUAAAGGCUUACCAAGGCAACGAUGCGUAGCCGACCUGAGAGGGUGAUCGGCCACCCUGGAGAUGAGACACGGUCCAGACUCCUACGGGAGGCAGCAGUAGGGAAUCUUCCGCAAUGGGCGAAAGCCUGACGGAGCAACGCCGCGUGAGUGAUGAAGGUCUUCGGAUCGUAAAACUCUGUUAUUAGGGAAGAACAAAUGUGUAAGUAACUAUGCACGUCUUGACGGUACCUAAUCAGAAAGCCACGGCUAACUACGUG